AAAAUGGAAUAAGAAAUUCACAUUUGCUAACUGUUGCUCCAACGGGUAAAGUAAUUGCCCCCAGUGUUCGUAAGAGCGCUGCGUAAACUUAGCUAUAUGCGGGAAACCCUGGCGUAUCUCUUACUACCUUUGUCUUGCCAACAAGUAAUCGGGUAAAAAUGUAAGAGUGUUGGCUUAUCGCCUACCAGACAAUCCGCAGGGAAGUCGUGGCUGACCCUUCAACGACUACAUGCUGAGCAACCAUAAAAUUAUGGUUGAUGAUAUAGUCUGACCCAUAUGGCGACAUAUGG
rnacentral:ncRNA from 1 species